AUUGAACGCUGGCGGCAUGCCUUACACAUGCAAGUCGAACGGCAGCACGGGUGCUUGCACCUGGUGGCGAGUGGCGAACGGGUGAGUAAUACAUCGGAACAUGUCCUGUAGUGGGGGAUAGCCCGGCGAAAGCCGGAUUAAUACCGCAUACGAUCUACGGAUGAAAGCGGGGGACCUUCGGGCCUCGCGCUAUCGGGUUGGCCGAUGGCUGAUUAGCUAGUUGGUGGGGUAAAGGCCUACCAAGGCGACGAUCAGUAGCUGGUCUGAGAGGACGACCAGCCACACUGGGACUGAGACACGGCCCAGAUUCCUACGGGAGGCAGCAGUGGGGAAUUUUGGACAAUGGGCGAAAGCCUGAUCCAGCAAUGCCGCGUGUGUGAAGAAGGCCUUCGGGUUGUAAAGCACUUUUGUCCGGAAAGAAAUCCUUGGCCCUAAUACGGUCGGGGGAUGACGGUACCGGAAGAAUAAGCACCGGCUAACUACGUG
rnacentral:rRNA from 1 species